UGAAAGCUUAGGCUAUCCCGGUGUCGCUCACGGACUCUUCACGAAAGGUGGAGUCGAAUUAGUUCAUCAUGUCUAUCAGCAGUCGAACGAACGUUUGGCUUCCGAGCUCCCGGCUGACAUUAAGGAGGCUCAACUCGAUCCUCUAAAGGCGAAGGACGAUCUUAAGAUAUUACGACUGGCUGUUGAGAAGCGAUUGAGGAUGAAUGCGGAGCACGUAUUCACUGGGAAAUGGACGGAAGCGAUGGGUUUGAUGGCUCUGCCCACCAAUGCUCCAUCUUCUUUGAAAUUGCUUGCUCAUCUCGUUGACGACAUGUGGCACCAUGCCGGAGACACUUCGCCGGAUUUUUCAUGGUACACUAAAAGAGCCGUGCUGGCUGCCGUUUACAAAUCUACUUAGCUGAGCAUGAUGCAGGAUAAAAGUGAAGACUUUCGAAGCACCUAGGAGUUUCUCGAUCGUCGAAUUGAAGAUAUGGAAAAAUUACGUGAUUGUUCCAAAAUGUGUGAAGAAACUUCACUCGUCUUGACAGGGCUCCUCAAAACGGCGAGAAAUGUGAUGGGCGGUUGAAGCGAUGCAUUUAUUUGAUACAUUGUGUUAAGUUUGAUAGUGUUUCCUUAGAAACCAAUACAAUAUAAGACUUG